AACAACACAGCUCCUACGAACAAGACCUGCUUACACAAGGAAAAUUAACAAAUUUUCAAAAAUUAUUUAGCAGGUGGGAAAUUCGGUGGAACUUUAUGAACGCGCAAAUUAGCGUUAUUUGAUAAAAAGAAUUAUGUUAAUUUGUUGGCCCGCGUAUUCUUUUAUCUGAAAAGGGAAAGAAUAUGCGCCCAAUUUUGCCCUUGAGGGUCUGUUUUAAGCGGGGAACCGUAACAGUUAAGGGUGCACCGCAACUUACGUAUGUGGUGCAUGGCUGCUACUAUCAGCAAUGUACACAGCGACAGUCACGUGUAAAGAGCGUGACCGUCGCUGAAUGGGAAAGGUAGCUGUGAGUUUGUUUGACGCACUUAAUAUACAUGUUAGGUGUGGUCUGUUCAGUGCAAUCGUAGGACAGAGUUGUAAAAGAGUCACGUGGCUGUCACAAGUUACGACGACUUUUAACUUUGAACCCGAUACCGAUUACUGUUGUUGUU
rnacentral:RNase_P_RNA from 1 species